UAGAUUGAUGCCCACUGGUUAGGGCGCUUAGCUGUUAACUAUGAGUUUGCGGGGUCGAGGCCCGCCUGUCUAG
rnacentral:tRNA from 1 species